rnacentral:rRNA from 1 species
GAUGAACGCUGGCGGCGUGCUUAACACAUGCAAGUCGAACGAAGCAUGAUAAUGGAAUUCUUCGGAAAGAAGUUGUCAUGACUGAGUGGCGGACGGGUGAGUAACGCGUGGGUAACCUGCCUUUUACAGGGGGACAACAGCUGGAAACGGCUGCUAAUACCGCAUAACCCGCUAGUACCGCAUGGUACAGACGGAAAAGGAGAAAUCCCGGUGAAAGAUGGACCCCGCGUCUGAUUAGCUAGUUGGUGGGGUAACGCUCACCAAGGCAACGAUCAGUAGCCGAACUGAGAGGUUGACCGGCCACAUUGGGACUGAGACACGGCCCAAACUCCUACGGGAGGCAGCAGUGAGGGAAUAUUU